AGUUCUGACCAUUUCUCAGAGACUACCUGGACAAGUGCCUGCAGUUUUCUUGGCAAGGUUUUUCAGAAGUGGUGUGCCACUAACUCUUCCCUAGAGAUGA